CUUACGGGGUGAAUUCAAUGGCAGCUUUCCGCCGAAAGGCGGAUUGAAACUGCGGGUGAAUUCAGGGAAGCCUAAGCCCCCGCGGCUUUGAUUUGCUUCGCCGUGCGAAACAAAUCAGCGGGGGGAUGGUAAUCCUGAGCCAAGCCCCCUAAGUUUUGCGUUGCGGCGCAACGCAAAACUCAUCCAGGGGGAAGGUGCAGAGACUAAGCGCCCGCCACCUACAGUCCCGAUAUGAAGCGGGACCACGGUGAAGAGAUAGUCCAGGCCUUGCGGAAACGCAGGG
rnacentral:ncRNA from 1 species